rnacentral:piRNA from 1 species
UGGUCUUAGGAACCUGAGAAAGGGAUGGUC